CACAUCCAAGGAAGGCAGCAGGCGCGCAAAUUACCCACUCCCGGCACGGGGAGGUAGUGACGAAAAAUAACGAUACGGGACUCAUCCGAGGCCCCGUAAUCGGAAUGAGCACACUUUAAAGACUUUAACGAGUAUCCAUUGGAGGGCAAGUCUGGUGCCAGCAGCCGCGGUAAUUCCAGCUCCAAUAGCGUAUAUUAAAGUUGCUGCGGUUAAAAAGCUCGUAGUUGGACUUGUGUCCCGCGCUGUCGGUUCACCGUUCGUCGGUGUUUAACUGGCAUGCCGCGCGGACGUCCUGCUGGUGGACGCGGUCGGCCGCGGGCCUCUGGCUCGCGCGUCGACGGUCCGGUGCAAUCCUACCGCGGUGCUCUUUACCGAGUGUCGAGGUGGGCCAGCACGUUUACUUUGAACAAAUUAGAGUGCUUAAAGCAGGCUUGGAUUCGCCUGAAUACUGUGUGCAUGGAAUAAUGGAAUAGGACCUCGGUUCUAUUUCGUUGGUUUCCGGAACCCCGAGGUAAUGAUUAAUAGGGACAAACGGGGGCAUUCGUAUUGCGACGUUAGAGGUGAAAUUCUUGGAUCGUCGCAAGACGAACCUAAGCGAAAGCAUUUGCCAUGAGUGUUUUCAUUAAUCAAGAACGAAAGUUAGAGGUUCGAAGGCGAUCAGAUACCGCCCUAGUUCUAACCAUAAACGAUGCCAGCCAGCGAUCCGCCGACGUUCCUAAGAUGACUCGGCGGGCAGCUCACGGGAAACCAAAGCUUUUGGGUUCCGGGGGAAGUAUGGUUGCAAAGCUGAAACUUAAAGGAAUUGACGGAAGGGCACCACCAGGAGUGGAGCCUGCGGCUUAAUUUGACUCAACACGGGAAACCUCACCAGGCCCGGACACCGGAAGGAUUGACAGAUUUAGAGCUCUUUCUUGAUUCGGUGGGUGGUGGUGCAUGGCCGUUCUUAGUUGGUGGAGCGAUUUGUCUGGUUAUUC
rnacentral:rRNA from 1 species